rnacentral:rRNA from 1 species
UACGUAGGGUGCGAGCGUUGUCCGGAAUUAUUGGGCGUAAAGGGCUCGUAGGCGGUUUGUCGCGUCGGGAGUGGAAACGCCGUGCUUAACACGGCGCUUGCUUUCGAUACGGGCAGACUAGAGGUAUGCAGGGGAGAACGGAAUUCCUGGUGUAGCGGUGAAAUGCGCAGAUAUCAGGAGGAACACCGGUGGCGAAGGCGGUUCUCUGGGCAUUACCUGACGCUGAGGAGCGAAAGUGUGGGGAGCGAACAGG